CCGCCAUUAGCUCACCGGGAAGAGCAAUAACCAUGUUGUAAGUACGGGGUUCGAGGCCUCGAUGGCGGACCA
rnacentral:tRNA from 1 species